UGAACCACCUGAAUCCAUGCCGAACUCAGCAGUGAAACCGCGUCGCGCCGAUGAUAGUGUGGGGUCUCCCCAUGUGAAAGUAGGUUAUCGUCAAGC
rnacentral:rRNA from 1 species